GAACAAGGGGAUAAUAAUCACUGACAGUCACUGCUAUAAGGACGGCCACAGUAUUGAAAAAAGAAGGUAAAUGCAGCAUAUCAGCUUAUCUUAUUAAAAAGAAAACAUUUUUCCUCUACCGUUAUUUACUUGCAGGCUUUCUACCUUUCUUAAUUCAACAUUUUCACCAUGAAAGCUAGAUUAUUGUGAAACCACAUAUUUAAAUAUAUCGUAGAAAGCAAUCUUUUUUCCUUAACUAUCCAAAAUAAGUCAAUCUUUACCUGUUUUUGGUUAGGAUUACUAAAAUAAUUUUUAUUUUUCAAAUAUUCAAAUAUUUCAACACGUUCUUAUUAAGAAAUGUACGUAAUUUACAUAAUGACCACUGGGAAUACCAAAUUCAAGAGUUUAGAUCAACGAACAACAUUUUAAUAAUUAGAACAGGUACCGUAAUAGCAUCUGGAAUUAAAAUUUUCAUCCAUUUUUUCUAUAUUCAAUAAAGUAUAUAGUAGAGUAGAGAGUAGUAGUAGUAGUAGUAGUAGAGAGGAGGCAGCACCAUGUUAUAAGUGUUUUGCUGCAGGGGGGAAGGAUACUUUUAGCCAAAUAUAGGACAUCAUUAGGAAAUAAUCUUGUGAUGAAAUGUAUUCUCAAUAAAAUAUCAGCACAGUAAUCAGUAUUUAAUCAUCAAACCUACAAAGAUCAAAGACUGAAAGAAAGAUGGAUGGACAACAAGAACAGACAGCUAAACCGAUGAACAAAUAGAGAGAUACUGACAGGCUUUGUUCAACUAUUAAUCAUUAAAGCAUCCCUCAGAUUAAAUAUUAGUCUUGUUAUUCAUUUUUUAAAAAUUAAUCUUAAAAAUUAAUCCUCCUAAUCAAAGAACAAUCUUACUGAAUAAAUAAAAAAAUAAAGAGAUUUUGGUACAUCUAUCAAGUUAAUUACAUGUAUUAAAUGAUUAUGUUUAUUAUUAUUCCCACUAAGUUCUUAUUUUCCAAUUACAAAUAAAAAAAAAAUUGAUAUCACUUAAAGAUUUAUGAUUGGGAGUGAACGCUGAGAUUAUAAGGUUUCUGAUUUCUCUCUGGAGUUUGCAUUUAGAAAUUAACAGAAUUAUCAUUUGAAGUCAGAAGGAAUCAUUAUUAUUAUUAUCAUUAUUAAUUUUUAUGGACUCUUAAAGUUGUUCUCAAUUUCUAAAGUAUAUUUAAAAAAAUCAUUCGAUUUAAGGGAAAUUUUGACGAGUAUUUACAGGGACUCAAGCAAACAGCUUUAAUGGUAACAGCAUAAUGAGGUUAUAAAAACAUAUAUUUAGAGUAUCGGGAUUUUCUACAGAAUUAGAGGUUAAUCUGACAAGAUCUGUAGUCAUGAUGAAAGUAUAGUGAAAGUAGAUAUGACUAAAUAGUCAGACCUGGGAUGGAGGGAAUAAAUUCAAGAGUUUAGAUCAACAAACAACAUUUUAGUAAUUAGAACAGGUAAUAGCAUCUGGAAUUAAAAUUUUCAUCCAUUUUUUCUAUAUUCAAUAAAACCUGGAAAAAACUUUCAAAGUACUCCAGACAACCAAGGACUAUAUGAGUCACUGUAAUUACAAAUUCUUUCAGAUAUUAAGUACAGAAACAACUCUGCUGCUUCUGCAAACCAAUACUUCAAACACACCUGCAAUAAAAUAAUAGAAAACUUUAUAAGAUGUUAUGGUUUAUGCUUUAUGUAAAGAAAUAAGCCUGGAAGUGAGGAAGAUAUGCAAAACUCGCCCAAGGAAUCGAGUCUUGGACGACGGUGCCAAGGACCAGUUGAUCACGCCACUGCCAACACACUGGGUUUUUCCUCAAAAUAUGAAAUUAAUGAGACAGUAGUAUCUCACUGCAAUAAUAAACUCACUGGAAUUUUGUAUGUAUUGGAGCUAACCCGAGAAUUCAAAGUCAUGUGACUGGACAAAACAGUUAACGACUGGUCGACAUUAAUCUUUUAAAGAUCUAUCUGAAUCUUGACUUUCUGUUGUAUAUUUCACUGAUUCUGAUAAUGAUGCAGUGAUUUUGCAAACAUAUUAACUGUCCAACCUUAAAGAUUGGUGUUAGAGGCUGGAUAUGUUUUUACUACACAUCCAGCCUAAGCCAAGAAUCCCAAUUAUGUCGGCAGACCUGCCAAAGCCAGCUUUGAUGAGAAGCUGAAAAAAAAAAAAAAAAACGCUACCCAGUAUGUUCAACUCAAAGGGUUGGGGACUAUAAACAGCAUUCCUCACCCAGCGCUAUGACAACUCUUCAAACUCUGAGUAGUCUAGAAAAGCAUUUCUGUAGCUACAGCAGAACUGGAAACUUGCACCACAAAAAUAGGGAGGAUGUAAAACCGAAUGAAGGAUUCACAUCUGACAUCUUGUAGCUUAUAGUUUCACUAAAUAUUGAUAAAGUCAUCUUUCUUUUCUGCACAAUAGCAUUGAAAAUACUUCUGCAUUGACUAUACGUACUCUUUAUCACCCCAUACAUCCACCACUUGUUGCUUCUCAGUUCAUCUAAAGUUACUGCUGCCAUCAGCUGUGUACUUUUUCUUUAAGAUAGGAAAUACCGCUAGGUCAGUGUAUCCAUCUUUUUAAUGUCUGAUCUGUCUUUUAAAAUCCCCAUUCAGUCCCAGCAGAUGUCUGCUCACACUGAGAUGAGUUUUGCUGGAGGUUUCAUCAUUUUAAGAGAGCGAUAUUCCUUUUCACUGUCACCAUAUGCUUAACCAGGAUAGCAAGAGGCUGCAAAGGCAGAGACUAAGGUAACUUUUUACCAGCUGGCAUAAAGUGAAUCUAGCUGCAGUGCAUUAUGACUAGGAUCAAAUCUGAAUGCAUGUAACUGAAGAUAAAUUUAGGUUGCAUAUGACUAGAUUGCACUGAUCUGACACAGUGAUGCAUAGAUAAAUGUAAUAAAAAAAACACACCAGUUUAAUUAAAUAUGUUUCUAAUUUGAAAUCAUUUUGAGCUGGGUCAUUGUAAGCGUGUCAUAGUAUUAUUAGUAUUGUCUGAUUCACCAAAAGCAGAAUAAGCAAGUCAGAUCUUAAAGACAACCAGAAAUUAGUAUAAGUUAAUAAAAGCAACUCUUUACCUAAUAUAGACUAUGUAAUUUUACUGUUUGAAUUCAUUAGAUGCAUUUGUGACAUCUCACAGAAAUGUACUAAAUUCUAUUCGUUUUUCAAUCUGACUUGGUAACUAAAAGGAAUCUGACACAAAAUCCUUCAUCAUCUAACAAGGAAACAUAUGGGUCCCAUAAUCAGAGCACGGGGACCAAUGGAAUCCAAGAAAAAGAUAUGAUUUGUUCUAGGUAUUAGUGCUGAAUAUGAUGUCAUUCUGAAAGGCACACUCCUUCUGUAGCGCUGGGGUUAAACGCCCCUCACAGCUUGGUCGUUGGAAUACAAUGGAAGCUCUCAGCAGACUCUGAACAUAUGGAAUAAAUAAUGGACCUCAUUACAAACAUCCAGGGUUUGCCUGGACUCCCACACAUGCCCCACAACGCAUUUUUCCAGUCCUGAACUGCAGGACAAUCUUGACAGGUUAGGUCACGAGAACUUCUGAGAAGCUUUUAAAAAUCUUUUAUGGGCAUACAAAAUGUAAAAUGCAUAAUUGAGCAUACAAACGACGAAACAUGCUGUUGCUUAAUCUGACUGAUUUAUUACAAAAACGUUGCUUGGUGUGUCUGUUGACCCAAUAGGACAAAAGCCUCCAUGGUAUUAGUAAAAUAAAAGCCUACAAUUAUCCUCCAAUGUUUACGGAUACAUUCGAGAUUUACUGUUGGAGGCACAAGGCCACCAGCCAUGCCUCUGAAACAUUCAUUUAGAACUUCCUCUUCAAUCCCACGACACUUAAUAUUCCACAAUAAAACAAGCACAAGGUCAGACCUUGGCCUGUGCCAGUGUAUGACGCAGUAUCUGACUACUGCCAUGAGAACGAAUAAGACUGAAAGCAAAUGACAUCUGUUUGGAGAGCAGACAAAAACUAAGACAUCAAUUGCUCUUAUGCCUCUCCAAUAAUCGUAUCUAUUUCAAUUAGAGUCAGGUUCGCAGAGUCAGAGCUCAGCUCCUUUAUAUACUGCUGCUGCUUUUUCAAGGAAAGGUUACAAAAGUAACAUGAAUGGAGUCUGUAUGCAUAAAGAAGUCAGUUGCCAUUUCACCCCUUGGAACUUCCUUUCUAUUUAUGCAAAUAAAUAAAGUUGUAUCCAUGUGAAUAGCUAUUGUACCCUGGGUUAUUUCACGUUGUUGUUUAGUAUUUUGUACAAAUUACUGGGAUCUGUGGAGUUAUAUAGAAUUUUGAAACUAUUGGCAUCUCUCCAGUUUGUCGGCUUUACAUUUAGAGUGCGCCAUCUUUUUGAUGACUUUACAAAACGAUGUAUUUGCAGAGCCUUAAAGGUUAUUUCCAAAUGAGAAAACUUGAAAAACAUAGUGGAGGUUUUUCAGUGGCAACAUGCAGGUGUUUGAGGUGUGGGCCAACAAACAGGUUUUCAAAACUAGUUAAGAUGCAAAUGGGGUUCUAACAGCCAAUUUACAAAGGUGUGAUGUUGGCUGUCACAUGACAUGGAAAUUUGCCCCUUGAAUAGAAAACAUUCAGUCUUCAGCUGACGUCAAGUUACACAGUCAGUAUUUGCAAAAUAGGUUGACUGUCAAGUGAAAAAAGUAUGUUCUUUUCAGAGUAGACCUUUCAGAACAGUUGCAGGUUAGAAGGCGCAUCAUAGUGUAAGGUUUACUGUAAUACCCCAAUUGCCUUCAGAAGUCACAUAAUCAGUAAAAGAGAGUCUACUUUCAUAAAGCAUAAUUUUAUCUGAAUAAAAUUACAACAGGUUGAACCUUGACACAACGUUCUAUCUGUUGUAUGAAGGUAGAACGUGAGGUUGGCAGCAUCAUACUUUGGAGACACUUUUCUUUAACAGGAACAGAAAUGCUGAUCAGAGCUGGCAGAAAAGAGGAGAAAGGUUCAGAAAGAACAUCUAUAAAGGUUUGCAAAAGACUUGAAACUGGGCUGCAGGUUCACCUUCCAUCAGGUCAGCUACCCUAAACAUAAACCCAGGGCAGAGGUCACACUAGACUUUUUUUUUUUACUGUCAUUUUGAUUGACGGGGUCAAAACAAAUCCUGUCACAACCUAUUUUUUUAAACUUAUUAAUUUUUCUAAGUUAUAAUAAUGACAUAUUCAACAGUAAUUCGUUUUCAUCCAAUUUAAUGUUCAAUCCGAACAAGCUGAAAAGAGAUUCCUUGUCACGCCAUCACACUUCAAGAAGAUGAAUACAUAAAAUGUUUUCUCCACAGUGACAAAAAAACUACAUUUACUGUGGUCCCAGUAACUAUAAACAAUCAAAUUAAGUUAUUGUACUCAAAAUAUAAACAGUUCACCUGCUGGGGCCUAAGCGCACAGUCUUAUAACGUCUUCCUUGUCCACACUGACCUGAAUUGCGCACCAGCUUGUUAAUAUAAUCAAAUGUCUCAAGGAGGAUUUCUGCAGAGGCUACUCUCAUAAGGUCUUGGACUUUUGCCUUGGACAGACGACUACUCAUGGGGGUUUUGAUGUUGUUCUAGAGCAGGGAGGCUGAAUCUUCGCUCUGCUGACAACCUGAGACUGGAAUUACAAGCACCACUUCAAAGUUUUAAAAUCAGGGAACAUUUCUUUAAUUGAAGUGAUCAGAAGGCGGCAAGACCCUCUGAACGAGCGGUUCCUUGAUCCCACAAGAACUCGCUUCAGCAUGCGCUCCUUCUGCACCAGUGGUUCAGCUGCAUCGGUCUGUGAUGCAGCUGAACCACUGGUGCAGUGGACACGGUCCGAAGCCUCUUUGGCCAUAACUCUUCAAUGCGCUGUCAGCUUCCAGAUAGCAAGACGCAUUGAGUAUGGUGUCCAGGUCAGAGAUGAGGCUCGCAUGGGGAUCUAUUUCAAUUGCUUUGGUUACCUAAACUCUGUGCAUAAAGUUAAAAAUGUCUUUCUUGUCUGUACCAAGUGGUCAGGGGUGUGAAUUGUAAUCUGUCAAAAAUGACAGAUAGCCUUCAGAUUUUUUUUGUCAUGGAUUAAAAAAAAAACAACGGUUAAAGAUGGAAAUCAUUCAGUUAACGAAACACCUGAACCAAACAUAUUCACAUCUUUGAGUGAUUCGAAGUCAAACCUAAACACACCCUGAAUAUGUGGCAAGACUUGCAAACCCAUAUUAUCAUCUUCACAAGUGUCUUAGUAAAAAAGAUUAGCCAAUAGUUUCACAAUAUAUGAAUAAAGCUGGUAGAAACCUACUGGAAAUGCAUGCCACACUUUUCAGAUAUGCAUUCACAAAAUGCUUAGAGAACCACGUAUUGUUUUCCUUUCACUUUUGGAUAAUGUGUGGCUUUGAUUUGAUUUCUCACAUACAAUUCUUCCAAAAGUAUUAAUAGUAUAGUAUAAUAGAUAGUGUUUGUGAUAAAAAAAAA